UCCCUGAUAGCUCAGUUGGUAAAGAAUCUGCCUGAAAUACAGGAGACCCUGGUUCAAUUCCUGGGUUGGGAA
rfam:TPA: Bos taurus chromosome 8, whole genome shotgun sequence.